CCUUGAAUUUCCCAAGGAGGGUUGAUGUCAGGCAGGCGGCCGGUCGUAAAAUAUACAAGCCAAAUCAUUACAUUACAACAUGAGCUUGGGAAUUAGAGUAUGCGAUAAUGCUAGGGCGUACCCCACAGGCGACGCGCAGAUGCAGCACCCGGCGUCUGUGGGAAAUGGACAAGGGUUGCUGCACCAGGGACGGGGGUAGCGUAAGAGGCGAGUCCAGGAGAAAAUGGCAUACUACCCAAAUAAGCAACAGACACUGCAGAUUUUAUGUUGUUUACGGACGAUUUAUUUGAUUCACUCAAUGGCAGUCACCAAAAUUUUAAUGUUCGGUCUGGGAAAGACUUGUUUCGAAAUGUUACACCAAAAUCAAGGCAUCGAGAAAUUUGGUCGCAAGCUAAAACUGUAUUAAGGACAAUGAAAUUUGUUACCAUGAAAGGUAGUUAUGGCACUGUACCAACUAUAAAUAAUUGGAUAAAUACGAUAGAAAACAUUGAACUUUUGCGUGAGAAACUGUUUUAUGACUACAACAUAAAAACAUUUUGGUGCAGACAUUUGAACCAGGAUCCUCUGGAAAACUUUUUUAGUAGCAUUAAGAGUCAUGGGCUUAGAAACAUCUCACUCUCAUGUGCUACUUUCAAAGCGGCGCGUCUUUGCUAAUCACUAAUUUAAGUAGCAUUUAUUAUCGGGGUUCAAAUUGUAAGGAGGAUUUCUGUACCAUGUUUGAGUCAUUUGAAGAAUUAUUUUUUACAAAAAAUGCGAGAUCUAGUCCUGGUUCAGAAAUUGAUAUUAACGAUAUUUUAAAUGAAGAAAUUGUUAGCGAUUUCGAAAAUAAAAAGAAAAACCCAAAAAUAAUUGCACAGCUCGAAUAUGUUACUGGUUACUAAAACUAAAAACUGGUUAUUAAAAAAGCUAAAAGAAAAAAAAAAUCCGAAAUUGUAAUGCUUGCAAAAAAGUUUUGUAUACAGAGGAUCCUGGUGUUAAUAAAUAUAUUUAAUACAAAGAAUAUUCAAAGAAAAAAAAUGUUUACAAUACCCUAGCAAAGAAUUAACAAAGUUUUUCUCAGAGAUACAGGAUAUGCUGCAUCAUGUACUGAGAUUCAAAAGUCAUAUAGAUAACUUAAAAAACUACAUGAAAACUUUGUUAUACGUGAAUCUAAAUACGAAUUUCAUUCAUGAUUUCAUCACAAAGUGGAAAUAACUGAAAUCAUUUUUGAAUUUUCCUGUAAUUUUUUUAUCAAUAAUUGGUGCAAAAUAACAAAUAAAUUAUUAUGUGGCACCAGCAAAGAUGUGGACGCAUUAGACAAAAUGCAAAACCAAGCAUUACUUUAUUAUAAUAAAAGGAAAAAAAUUGUAAAGGCUACAGCAGUCUGAAUAAAUAAUAUUUGUUUACUGCAGAACACAUAAAAAUAUAUACCUUUAGAUUUAGAAAGUUUAGAUAUUCUUAUAUGUUCUAUUUUCAACAAAUUAAAUAGGUACGUGAUAAAUCAAAACGAUUGAAAAUCGUAACAACCGACUUCAGCAUUUGUGACAGACUUCAUGAUAGCGGAGUAAUCGCUUAAAAAGUAUUUCUCGAGUUCAUAUUUUGAAAAGCACUAAAAUGAUUUUGAUAAAACCUUUAUGGGACCCC